rnacentral:misc_RNA from 1 species
UUUCCGUAGGUGAACCUGCGGAAGGAUCAUUAUUGUAUAACCGAGGUGCGAGGGCUGUCGCUGACCCGAAAGGUCGUGCACGCCCGAGUUCCCUCACCCACAUCCAUCUCACCCCUAUGUGCACCACCGCGUGGGUCCCCCUUUGGCUUGUUCGGAGGGGGGCUUACGUUUUCACACAAACUUUGUAUGCAGUGUAGAAUGUAUUUUUUGUGUGUGCGCUCACGCAAUCAAAACAACUUUCAACAACGGAUCUCUUGGCUCUC